CUGGAGGCGGAGCCGGACUCCAAGCCCCGCCCAGAGGUCACCUGGGCUGCUGCUGCUCAAACAGUCUCUGGGGAGCAACUCCUGGUGUCUGUCUGGGCCUCGGUGCCGAGUUCCCGUGUCCUCAUCUCCUCCUCCCAGCAUCCUCCUGGCUCUACCUUCGGUGGCCUCUGCUCUGCCCCAGGAGGACAGCCUGGAGGGAGAGGGAAUGGCUCCUGCCCUGACAGCUAGGCCGGGGAAGGUGAGUGUCACUUGCUGCUUUCCUGAAAUACAUCUCAGGCCAGAGAUGGGGGGUAGGUUUCUUUGUCCUG
rnacentral:lncRNA from 1 species